rnacentral:lncRNA from 12 species
UUAGUAGGUACAAACUUCCCAUUAUAAAAUAAUUAAGUCAUGGGGAUGGAAUGUACAGCAUAGGGAAUAUAUUCAAUAAUACCGUAAUAACUUUGUAUGGUGACAGAUGAUAACUAGACCUGUCACAGUGAUCAUUUCAUGAUGUAUACAAAUAUCAAAUCACUAUCUUGUGCAUCUAAAACUAAUAUUGUAUGCCAAUUAUAUAUAUAUUUUUAAAAAGCUUAAUAACUGUCCUAUUCCUCAGCAAUAAUCACUAGAUGACUUUUCAAAUCAGUAGGGAAAGGGUGUAUCAUUCAACAAGUGAUAUUAGGACAAUCAGCCAACAAUGAGGAAUAAGUAUAACCUGAAUCCUUGCCUCAAGCAAGUCCACUCAAGCUGUAAAUAAGAUAAAACUUUAAGAAUCAUUUUAAAAUACUGUAAAGUAAUGCAGAGAACAAUAAAGAAAUUAAAAUCACCCCUGCCCUGCUCAUUAUUGUUGACAUUUUGAUGAAAAGCCACCUUCCAGAUGCCUCUGUGCAUCAGUCUGCAAGUCCAGAAGCUAUACUAAUGAGUUGCAUUAUAUUAAUUUUGAAAUUAGUGCUUAACACUAAGUGAUAGUACAGGUAUUUUCCUACAUCCAUUAAGUAUAAACACACAUCAUCGUUCUCAAUGGCUUCCUGGUUUUCAAGAGUGUAAUAUGGUCAUUUAUUUAAUCAUUCCUCUUUCUAUGGAUAUUGGUUGUUUUCCCAAGUUUUCACUGUUAUUGGAGACUAUGCUUUGUUCAACAUCCUAUGUAUAACUUUCUUUAUUUGCCUUUAUAUACUUAUCUGUGGAAUAAAUUUUAGAAGUAGAAUUCAUAUAAAAAUUUUAUAUUUUCAUAAAUUUUAUCAAACUGCAUUUCAGAUAUAUUGUACAACUUAUCCGGCUAAUGGCAAGUGAAAGUGUCCACUUCCCCACAACCUUGAUGUCCUUAGUGAAUUCCUCAUGUAAAUUUAGCCGUUUCGCUGAUUUGCCUCAUGCCCUACGCAGCACUGAUGUGGACCUACUUUCGUGAACAAUCAUCAACAACCUCUUCAUUGUCCUUCCACCCUCAACCCUGCUCCCACCGGGUAGAAGUUUCUAAGCCCCUGGUGCCCUGGACUCAUGCAUGGAGUCUUCUGGGCAAACAGGUGAAAUAAAAAGAAAUGUGAAGAUGAAAAGAGCGGGCAAGCAAGAGUCGAGGUAGCAAAUCAGCUCUUGGCAUCCUAGGGCCGGCGGCCUGAGAAGCCACAGGAAGCAGGAGGCGAUCUGGGGUCUAACAUUUUAACAUGGAACAGAAACUUGAUGCAGAGGAAGAAGGUUUUGAUGGUAAAAUCAGCUCUACUCUAAGACCAUCGAGAGAACGGGGUGGGCAGGGCUCUCUACCUAGGAUCCUUGGAAGGACUUCAGUCUCUGAUAUUAUAUGAAUUAUUUUAUGCACG